AGAGAGCGGUGAAAGAGAAAGACAAAGAGAAAGAGAAAGAUAGCAGCGCGUGCGGGCGUGUCAUUGCAUGGCGUGUUGUAGGAACUGCGAGGGGAGGAAUAAUAAUGGCGGUGAUGAUUUCCUUGCGCUUGCUCUGCCGGCCCUCAAAAGAAGGGGAGAAAAUUAUUAUUCGGCAACAGUCGCUUGAAUGCUGCAACUCAACUGCUCGAUUGAUUAUUCACGGGACAAAAUUAGGUGGAAACGAGUAACAAUUGCCGAGAUCGAUCCAGUUCGCUGAGCGAUGGCGAUCGAUGAUAAAUUUCAGAAGUCGUGGGAGAAGAUGGCGAGAAAAAGAGGAAUGGGGGGAGAAAGAAACCAUACCAUCCAAAUAUCCAAUCAUGCGAAUAAAUAAACCAACUCAAAAGAAGACAAGAACUCAAGACGAAACGAACAAAACCAGAUUGAAUUGAAAGGAAGCAAUUCAUCAGGAGGAAAAGGAAGAGAGAGAGACAUGGGCGCUACUUUAUCAAGCAGACGGGCUGAAGUCUGAGGAGAAAAAGGCAGUUGUUUUUGUUUUGUCCUGGGAGAAGCCAACUCUAAUCUCCGCCUCAAAAGCCUAUCUUUUCUCUCCCUUGAUACCUUCACAGAGCAGAAGAUUCUGUUCGCCUCCUCCUCGCUCCUCCAUCCUCCAUCGUUGCUCCACCUCCUCUGGGGAGGAAAGAUUAAAAUUGGACCUUGCCUUUUCCUUGCUUUCUUUAAUCUCUCUCCGUUCCUCUGUUCUUGCGAGGUGGUGUUUGUUGGUUUUUUUUUAAUUGCUUUUGUAUCAGUUGCUGUGGUACAGUGGUGGCUUGUUUUGGUGAGAGGAAUUCUUUUUUCUGAUGAAAGUUCUUCACCAGGUGGAUUUCUUUUUUAUCAAUAAAGAUCAAUCCGGCCACGAGAAGAGGAAAAGUGGUGCUUUUGGGCUGAUAAAAGUGAGAUUUUUGCGGGGAGAAGAAGAGUUUGUGAUGCUUGAUCGGUUAGAAAAGAGGAGCAAAGCAAGAUGAGGACGGGAUUGAGUACGAUCCAGCAGACGCUGACGCCGGAGGCCGCGAGCGUUCUGACGCGAUCCAUCUCGGAGGCGGCUAGGCGGAGCCACGGGCAGACGACGCCCCUCCACGUCGCCGCCACUCUCCUGGCCACGCCCUCCGGGCUGCUCCGCCAGGCGUGCGUCCGCUCCCACCCGCAGUCUUCCCACCCGCUGCAGUGCCGGGCCCUCGAACUCUGUUUCUCCGUCGCCCUGGACCGCCUUCCAGGCGGGGGAGCCGGCGUCGAGCCGCCCAUCUCCAACGCGCUCAUGGCGGCGCUCAAGCGCGCGCAGGCAAACCAGCGCCGCGGGUGUCCCGAACAACAGCAGCAGCCGCUCCUUGCUGUCAAGGUCGAGCUGGAGCAGCUCCUCAUAUCGAUACUCGACGACCCCUCUGUCAGUCGCGUCAUGCGAGAGGCCAGCUUCUCCUCUGUCGCCGUCAAGAUCGCUAUCGAGCAAUCUCUCCCAUCAUCCGCCUCUACCACGACCACUGCUUCCGCCCGAUCCAUCGCUUCCUUUGCCACUGGCACUUCUCCCGCCGCCUCUCGUAUCAUAAGCGGACUAAGUCUAACCAACCGAGCUCCCCCCUGCCACAGCCUCUACAUAAACCCUCGCCUGUACCAGCACCACAGCAACGGCGAACAGGUCCGCACGGAGGAAGUAACGCGGGUACUGGAUGUCCUCUCCCGACUCAAGAAUCGAAAUCCAAUCCUAGUUGGAGACUCCAACGCCGACGUCGUGAUGAGAGAAGUGUUGCAGAGGAUUCGCUCCGGAGACGCGCCGCCGCACCUGCUCAACGCCCAAGUCCUUCCCUUUCCAAAGGAAAUCGCCACGGCCUCCCCACGCAAUCUUUCUCAAAUCAUUAGAGAGCUCAGCAGCUCGAUCGAUUCCAUGAUCGGCGGCCAAAGUGGAGUGAUCAUCCAUCUGGGAGACCUCAAAUGGCUAGGGGAGAGCCAUGGCUUCUCCGAUGCCAGCCAGUCAUUGACCGAGGAGAUCGGAAAGCUCUUCAAAACGUUCCAGAAAGGCGAUCAAGUGUGGUUGAUCGGGACUGCGUCGUGUGAAACCUACCUCCGGUGCCAAAUCCACCACCCAACCAUGGAGAACGAUUGGGAUCUCCAGGCGGUGCCGAUAGCGCCAAGUUCUUCCAUCACCAAUACGUUCCCAAGGAUUGGAGGCACCGGAAUCCUUAGCAACAGUCUGAAGAGAUUAGCACCUAUGAACUGCACUGGCAGUAGUGUCGCCCCGAAAGAACCAUCCGAGAUCGCAAACCCUUCGCAAAGCACAGCCCUCUGUCCUCUAUGUUCAGCAAGCUAUCAACAUGAAUUAGCUACUCUUGGCUGUAAGGAGUUCAACAAGCCCUCAACUAAAGCCGAGGCAAUGCCUCAGUGGUUGCAGCUUGCAAUGCUUGACAAUGGAAGCAACUCCACUAAGCCAUCAUCUUCCCUUCUCGAGCCUGAGGAAGAGCAACAACAACUGAAAGAGAGCACCGAGGAGCUAUUGAAGAGAUGGAGUGCGACUUGUUCCAGCCUACAUCCUCCUGCUCAGAGUAUGAAUAAGCUCCAGUUAACACUAUCUCAGAGCACGACUGCACAGCCUACUUCCCCUCCCUGCACUGCUCCGGUGAGGACUGAUCUUGUCCUUGGCAACUCCAAGCUCUCCAAUUCAUCCAUGGCCAACACUGAUUUCCACGAGUGUAUUCAAGAUACUUUCUUUGAUGAGCAGAGACCUAAAGUUUCUAGCAUUUCCGAUAUCGAUACAUUCAAGAGGUUAUUCAAGGGGCUUGCAGAUAAAGUAAGUUGCCAGCAUGAAGCAGCAUUGGCUGUGGCUACUGCUGUAUUGCAAUGCAAAUCCGGCAAUGGAAGACGCCGGAAAGCUGGGGCUAAAGGUGAUAUUUGGCUUCUUCUUAUUGGGCACGACAAAGUCGGAAAGCGGAAGAUGGCAAGCGCUCUAUCAGAACUGAUAUUUGGGACUGGACCGACAUUCAUUGCAUUUGGUCAUUCUUCUUGCACGGAAGGUGAUUACGAAGAGUCUACUUAUCACUACCGGGGAAGAACACCUAUGGACCGAAUCGUAGAAGCAGUUUGCCGGAGCCCGUUUUCAGUGAUUAUGUUAGAGGACAUCGAUCGAGCCGACAUGGUAUUUCAAGGUAAAAUUAGGCAGGGGAUAGAGAGGGGCAGGUUACUCGAUUCACAUGGCCGGGAAGUUAGCUUAGGCAGCGUCAUCUUUGUCCUGACCACAGAUUGGGUUUCAGAAGAUCUCAAGAGCUCAUAUGAUUCCCUCCUUCAGCAUGAGGAGAAGGUAUUGGAUUCAGCUUACUAUGGGGUGGGAUUGGAGCUCUCGAUCGGGGACAAGCUUGCGAAGCGUCGUCCCGAUUGGCUUCGCGAGGAUGAUCAAUGCGUUAAGCAUCGAAAGGAAUCUUUGGUCAGCGGCAACCUUUCACUGAAUUUGAAUUUACCCAUGGGAAUAGAUGCUGAGGGCGGGGAGGGAUCCCGGAAUUCCAGUGACCUCACCACUGAGCAGGAAUGCGAUAAGGGCUGCAGGUUGUCAAUCUCAGAAUUGCUCGGUUUAGUCGACGAAACGAUAACAUUCAAACCGGUAGACUUCGGCUUGCUAAGAAGAAAUGUACUGCAGUCCACUUCAGUGAAGUUUGCUGCCAUAAUGGGCAACGGGAGUGCGCUAAGAAUCGACGACGACGCUCUCGAUCGGAUCAUUGCCGGCUUAUGGCUUGAGGGAGCAGAUUUUGAGGACUGGGCUGAGAGGGUGUUGGUGCCUAGCUUUAAGCAACUGAGAAAUUACUCGAAAACGGAUGCCGGGGUCGUAGUCGUCCGGCUAUCCACUAUAAAAGGAGACCGACCGGCACAGAGACCUAAAAACAGCACCGGGAACUGGCUGCCGACGACGAUCACCGUUGCAUUUGAUGGUGCCAACGACAAUUAGUGAAACAGUAGAAACUUGAAUGAUGUAUAUAUCAGUGGCGGUCAUCGAUAGGCAUAGCUUUGUAGAAGAUCAACACAGCCAUAUGUUUUGAUCAUGCCCAAAAACACUUUUGAAAGUGGCUGCAGCUUAAAGUUUGGAUCAAAACUUCAAGUGCUGCCACUUCUGUCACCUUGACUGAGCUCAUCAUCGAGCAGAGACGUACCAAGAAAAGAUGAAACGCUGGUGGUCCAACGUCAUCGAAGACUUGGCAACAGCAACCAAAGAAUGUCCUUGAAGCCAAGCCAACUCAGAUCUUAAAACCUCUUUUAAUGUACGUGGGAAGACUAAAAAAGGAUCAGACCAAUCAAGAUAAGAAGAAGACAUGGGGGUAUAUCGAGCGAGCAACAGGACAAGGCGAUGCAUGUGCUUCCAUUAAUUGUCUUCUCGCCUUCUGUCUCUGGACACAGGAAAUCAAGUCUGUUGUAAAUUAUU